UGAGGAAUAUUGGUCAAUGGGCGCAAGCCUGAACCAGCCAUCCCGCGUGAAGGAAGAAGGCCUUAUGGGUUGUAAACUUCUUUUCUAUUUGAAGAAUUUGCCCGACGUGUCGGGUAUUGCCGGUAGGAUAGGAAUAAGCAUCGGCUAACUCCGUGCCAGCAGCCGCGGUAAUACGGAGGAUGCAAGCGUUAUCCGGAUUUAUUGGGUUUAAAGGGUGCGCAGGUGGUUUAAUGAGUCAGUGGUGAAAGUCUGCCGCUUAACGGUAGGAUUGCCAUUGAUACUGUUAGACUUGAGUUUGGAUGAGGUAGGCGGAAUGUGUAGUGUAGCGGUGAAAUGCAUAGAUAUUACACAGAACACCGAUUGCGAAGGCAGCUUACUAAUCCACGACUGACGCUGAGGCACGAAAGCGUGGGGAUCAAACAGG
rnacentral:rRNA from 1 species